CCUACGGGUGGCAGCAGUGAGGAAUAUUGGUCAAUGGACGCAAGUCUGAACCAGCCAUGCCGCGUGCAGGAAGACGGCUCUAUGAGUUGUAAACUGCUUUUGUACGAGGGUAAACGCAGAUACGCGUAUCUGUCUGAAAGUACCGUACGAAUAAGGAUCGGCUAACUACGGGCCAGCAGCCGCGGUAAUACGGAGGAUUCAAGCGUUAUCCGGAUUUAUUGGGUUUAAAGGGUGCGUAGGCGGUCGGAUAAGUUAGAGGUGAAAUCCCGAGGCUCAACUUCGGAAUUGCCUCUGAUACUGGUCAGCUAGAGAGUAGUUGCGGUAGGCGGAAUGUAUGGUGUAGCGGUGAAAUGCUUAGAGAUCAGACAGAACACCGAUUGCGAAGGCAGCUUACUAGGCUACUUCUGACGUUGAGGCACGAAAGCGUGGGGGGCAAACAGGAUUAGAUACCCUAGUAGUC
rnacentral:rRNA from 1 species